UACGUAGGGUGCGAGCGUUAAUCGGAAUUACUGGGCGUAAAGCGUGCGCAGGCGGUUUUGUAAGUCUGUCGUGAAAGCCCCGGGCUCAACCUGGGAAUGGCGAUGGAGACUGCAAGGCUUGAAUCUGGCAGAGGGGGGUAGAAUUCCACGUGUAGCAGUGAAAUGCGUAGAGAUGUGGAGGAACAUCGAUGGCGAAGGCAGCCCCUUGGACCUGUACUGACGCUCAUGCACGAAAGCGUGGGGAGCAAACAGG
rnacentral:rRNA from 1 species